rnacentral:rRNA from 1 species
AUUGAACGCUGGCGGAAUGCUUUACACAUGCAAGUCGAACGGCAGCACGGGGGCAACCCUGGUGGCGAGUGGCGAACGGGUGAGUAAUACAUCAGAACGUGCCCGGUCGUGGGGGAUAACGUAGCGAAAGUUACGCUAAUACCGCAUACGAUCUGAGGAUGAAAGCGGGGGACCUUCGGGCCUCGCGCGAUCGGAGCGGCCGAUGUCAGAUUAGGUAGUUGGUGGGGUAAAGGCCUACCAAGCCGACGAUCUGUAGCUGGUCUGAGAGGACGACCAGCCACACUGGGACUGAGACACGGCCCAGACUCCUACGGGAGGCAGCAGUGGGGAAUUUUGGACAAUGGGCGCAAGCCUGAUCCAGCCAUUCCGCGUGCAGGACGAAGGCCUUCGGGUUGUAAACUGCUUUUGUAUGGAACGAAAAGGCUCUGGCUAAUACCUGGGGCUCAUGACGGUACCGUAAGAAUAAGCACCGGCUAACUACGUG